UACGGAGGGGGCUAGCGUUGUUCGGAAAUACUGGGCGUAAAGCGCACGUAGGCGGUGGAGUAAGUCAGAGGUGAAAUCCCAGGGCUCAACCCUGGAACUGCCUUUGAAACUACUACACUAGAAUCAUGGAGAGGUCAGUGGAAUUCCGAGUGUAGAGGUGAAAUUCGUAGAUAUUCGGAAGAACACCAGUGGCGAAGGCGACUGACUGGACAUGGUAUUGACGCUGAGGUGA
rnacentral:rRNA from 1 species